rnacentral:rRNA from 1 species
GUAGGUGGCAAGCGUUGUCCGGAAUUAUUGGGCGUAAAGCGCGCGCAGGCGGUUCUUUAAGUCUGAUGUGAAAGCCCACGGCUCAACCGUGGAGGGUCAUUGGAGACUGGAGAACUUGAGUACAGAAGAGGAAAGCGGAAUUCCACGUGUAGCGGUGAAAUGCGUAGAGAUGUGGAGGAACACCAGUGGCGAAGGCGGCUUUCUGGUCUGUAACUGACGCUGAGGCGCGAAAGCGUGGGGAGCAAACAGGAUUAGAUACCCUGGUAGUCCACGCCGUAAACGAUGAGUGCUAAGUGUUAGGGGGUUUCCGCCCCCCUUAGUGCUGCAGCUAACGCAUUAAGCACUCCGCCUGGGAGUACGGCCGCAAGGCUG